GAACAAGAUGUGGUCUACGUAAGAGUUU
rnacentral:sRNA from 1 species